CGGAGGCUACCGCUAUCGGAGUUCGAUUAAGCCAUGCGAGUCGAGAGUCCUCGGGACUCGGCGUACCGCUCAGUAACACGUGGGUAACCUGCCCUAUGCUGGGGAAUAACCUCGGGAAACUGAGAAUAAUGCCCCAUAGCCCACUACGCCUGGAACGGUGAGUGGGUCAAAGCCCCGGCGGCAUAGGAUGGGCCUGCGCCGUAUCAGGUUGUAGGGGGUGUAAAGUACCCUCUAGCCAUCAACGCGUACGGGUGUUGGGAGACAUUGCCCGGAGAUGGAUUCUGAGACACGAAUCCAGACCCUACGGGGUGCAGCAGGCGCGAAAACUUGGCAAUGCGAGAAAUCGUGACCAGGGAACUCCAAGUGCGUAGGGUAAGACCUACGCUUUUCUUGACUCUUCAAAGGUCUUGGAAUAAGGGGUGGGUAAGGACGGUGCCAGCCGCCGCGGUAAUACCGGCGCCUCAAGUGGUAGUCGCUUUUAUUGGACCUAAAACGUCCGUAGCCGGUCUGGUGCAUUCGUGGGUAAAUCAACCCGCUCAACGGGUUGAAUUCUGCGAGCACGGCCAGACUUGGGACCGGGAGAGGUGUGGGGUACUCUCAGGGUAGGGGUAAAAUCCUGUCAUCCUGAGAGGACCACCUGUUGCGAAGGCGCCACACUAGAACGGAUCCGACGGUCAGGGACGAAACCUAGGGGCACGAACCGGAUUAGAUACCCGGGUAGUCCUAGGUGUAAACGCUGUGGACUUGAUGUUGGGGGCGCUCCGAGCGCUCUCAGUGUCGAAGCGAAGGUGAUAAGUCCACUGCCUGGGGAGUACGGUCGCAAGGCUGAAACUUAAAGGAAUUGGCGGGG
rnacentral:rRNA from 1 species